rnacentral:lncRNA from 10 species
ACUCAGCAAAACAAGGUUUCUCAUUAAGGCACAUCCUCCUUAGAAGGUUAUAGAGCCAGGAGGCCGAAUAUGCACAUACUGCAAGGAACUUCGUAUGGCAUUUAACAAAUAAGACUCCCUGAGGUUAAUAGCCUCCACUCGUGUCUCCAAGGGAAAGAGAUCGUCCUCCGCCAAGGAUAAUAGAACACACAGACACUGUCUCAGUCUCAUCCUUGAUAAACUGCUGCAUGAUCACUGCUGUCUGCCGAAGACCAGCAGCAGGGCAGAACAAAACAGAUGUACGGGAACUCCAUGCAGAGAAGCAGACUUGAUCACCAUCUACUCAGGGAUGCUCAAGGAGACUGGGCAGUCUAAGCUCCAGUGGACUGAAGAAAAGACAAAAAGAGGCAGAGGAAAUCCAAAAAGUAGAAUGUCAGACUAUAUUCCACUCAAAUUGUCUCAGUCAUUUGUUAGGAAGAAAGUACAGAGCCCUGACCCCAAAAUAAAGCAAAUCCUCAUUUUGUCCUCUUCAAAAUGAAAUGGACUGCUGGCUGGGUGCGGUGGCUCAUGCUUGUAAUCCCAGCACUUUGGGAGGACGAGGUGGCCAGAUCACUUGAGGUCAGAAGUUCGAGACCAGCCUGGCCAACAUGGUGAAACCCUGUCUCUACUAAGAUUACAAAAGUGCCGGGCACAGUGGCUCAUGCCUGUAAUCCCAGCACUUUGGGAGGCCGAGGCGGGCUGAUCGCCUGAGGUCAGGAGUUCAAGACCAGCCUGGCCAACAUGGCGAAACCCCAUCUCUACUAAAAAUACAAAAAUUAGCUGGGCAUGGUGGCGGGUGCCUGUAGUCCCAGCUACUCGGGAGGCUGAGAUAGGAGAAUGGCUUGAACCCAGGAAGCAGAGGUUGCAGUCAGCCAAGAUAGCGCUACUGCACUCCAGCCUGGGUGACAAAAGCGAAACUCUCUUAAAGAAAAAACAAAAACAAAAAAGAAACAAACAAAACCCCACAAUUUAUUAAAUUCAUUUCCCUCACCUAUUCAAUGUCCAUUUAUUCUGCUUUCAGCUGUUGGGGUCAGUUGAAACAAAUGCUCACUAUUUUGUCCCAAUGCAAGAUUUGGUAGAAACCUUCCCUUACUCAGCUAAUUCUUACCCAGAUCAGUCAUGCAAGUCAAAUCAUGUCUCCUGGAAAAAAACCAGCUUCCCAUGGAAAAUGCGCCACAGGACAGCUCCAAACAGGUGUUUGCCCUGGGCUACCAUCCUGGCUGAGCCCUCAGGGGUAUCAGAAAGACCCUGCAGACUUGGAUGCUCCACCUGCAGAGUCCCCUGCGCUGGGGUUAUAUCCCCACUCUAAGGCCAAGAGUAGAUGCAGUCUAAAGGGCCCAAACGAGGAAAAUCUUUCCUCCUCCUGUGGUGGGGGAUGGAGAUGGCUACAUGGAUGGGCAGAGUGAAUUGAGCUCUCUUCUCACGCACAGACUCUUUUAUGACUAAUCAUUAACACCAAUGGCUGAGCUGUUUUCUGUAACUUUAGCCAUAACUGGAUACAGAGGAAGAUUCGCAAAGACAUCUACAGGUCACAGUUGAAACUGGCAUAAAAGAAAAAAUGGUGUCUUCUUAAUGUGCCAAUGCUUUAAUUUGGAUUAUCCCACCAAAUACCUUAGUCAAUUUAUUGAAAGUUAAUUGGGCCGGGCGCGGUGGCUAAGCCUGUAAUCUCAGCACUUUGGGAGGCCGAGGCGGGCGGAUCACAAGGUAAGGAGAUCGAGACCAUCCUGGCUAACACAGUGAAACCCCGUCUCUACUAAAAAAUACAAAAAAAAAAUUAGCUGGGCGUGGUGGCG